rnacentral:rRNA from 1 species
UACGUAGGGUGCAAGCGUUGUCCGGAAUUAUUGGGCGUAAAGAGCUCGUAGGCGGUUUGUCGCGUCGAAUGUGAAAACCCGGGGCUCAACCCCGGGCCUGCAUUCGAUACGGGCAGACUAGAGUUCGGUAGGGGAGUCUGGAAUACGUUGGUGUAGCAGUGAAAUGCGUAGAUAUCAAGUGGAACACCAGUGGCGAAGGCGAGUCCCUGGACAAAACCUGACACUGAGGCACGAAAGCUAGGGGAGCAAACAGG